rnacentral:rRNA from 1 species
UACAUAGGGUGCGAGCGUUAUUCGGAAUUACUGGGCGUAAAGCGUGCGUAGACGGCUAUCUAAGUCGGGUGUGAAAGCCCCGGGCUCAACCUGGGAAUUGCAUUCGAGACUGAAUAGCUAGGGUACGGUAGAGGGAAGUGGAAUUUCCGGUGUAGCGGUGAAAUGCGUAGAUAUCGGGAGGAACACCAGUGGCGAAGGCGGCCUUCUGGACCAAUACUGACGCUCAUGCACGAAAGCGUGGGGAGCAAACAGG